rnacentral:rRNA from 1 species
GGCGGCAUGCUUAACACAUGCAAGUUCGAACGAAGUCUUCGGACUUAGUGGCGCACGGGUGAGUAACAUGUGGGAAUCUACCUAAAGGUUCGGAAUAACUGCGGGAAACUGUAGCUAAUACCGGAUGUGUCUGUAAAGAGAAAGAUUUAUUGCCUUUAGAUGAGCCCGCACUAGAUUAGUUUGUUGGUGAGGUAAAAGCUCACCAAGACUACGAUCUAUAGCUGGUCUGAGAGGAUGACCAGCCACACUGGGACUGAGACACGGCCCAGACUCCUACGGGAGGCAGCAGUGGGGAAUAUUGGACAAUGGGGGAAACCCUGAUCCAGCAAUGCCGCGUGAGUGAAGAAGGCCUUCGGGUUGUAAAACUCUUUCAUCAGUGAAGAUAAUGACUGUAACUGAAGAAGAAGCUCCGGCUAACUCCGUGCCAGCAGCCGCGGUAAUACGGAGGGGGCUAGCGUUGUUCGGAAUUACUGGGCGUAAAGAGCACGUAGGCGGAUCAAAAAGUUAGAUGUGAAAUCCCUGGGCUUAACUCAGGAACUGCAUUUAAAACUAAUGAUCUAGAAUUUGGUAGGGGGUAGUAGAAUUUCCAGUGUAGAGGUGAAAUUCGUAGAUAUUGGAAAGAAUACCAGUAGCGAAGGCGGCUACCUGGGCCAAAAUUGACGCUGAGAUGCGAAAGCGUGGGUAGCAAACAGGAUUAGAUACCCUGGUAGUCCACGCAGUAAACGAUGAGUGCUAGUCGCUGGAUCUUAAGAUUCGGUGUCGAAGCUAACGCAUUAAGCACUCCGCCUGGGAAGUACGGUCGCAGAUAGCUAAUAGAUACG